CAGUAGCCGCGGGAAAACGGAGGGUGCAAGCGUUAAUCGGAAUUACUGGGCGUAAAGCGCACGCAGGCGGUCUGUCAAGUCAGAUGUGAAAUCCCCGGGCUUAACCUGGGAACUGCAUUUGAAACUGGCAGGCUAGAGUCUUGUAGAGGGGGGUAGAAUUCCAGGUGUAGCGGUGAAAUGCGUAGAGAUCUGGAGGAAUACCGGUGGCGAAGGCGGCCCCCUGGACAAAGACUGACGCUCAGGUGCGAAAGCGUGGGGAGCAAACAGGAUUAGAUACCCGAGUAGUCCCUGUCUCUUAUAC
rnacentral:rRNA from 1 species